rnacentral:rRNA from 1 species
UACCUGGUGGAUCCUGCCAGUAGUUAUAUGCUUGUCUCAAAGAUUAAGCCAUGCAUGUCUAAGUACUAGCCAAUAAUUCUUUUUUUUUUUUUUUUUAAAAAAAAAGAAGUAAACGGUGAAACCGCGAAAAGCUCAUUAAAUCGGCUUUGGUUCCUUAGAUAGUAAGCAGAUCUGAUUUUUUUUUAAAAUGUAAAAUUUUAAAAAAAAAAGAAAAUCUGAAAUGGAUAACUGUGGUAAUUCUAGAGCUAAUACAUGAAAAUUAUUUCAGUGUGAAAAUAUUUUAAAAAAAGGAAUAUUUUUGCACGCUUUUAUUAGAGGAAAAAGCCAAUUUUUAAAAAAUCUUAAAAAAACAUUUGAAAAAAAAAAAAGAUUAAUAAAUUUAAUAAUCGUUUAAAAAAUAUCAUUAAUUUGAUAAUUUUUUAAAAUGGUGUUGAAUCUGAAUAACUUGAAUGAAUUUCUUUUGAAAAAUAUUUAUCGUAUUAAUGUUUUUAUAACUUUUUUUAAUUUUUUUUUUAAAAUUUUAUUUAAAUAAUAUAUAUAUAUAGACACUUAUGUGUAUGUAUGUAGAAUUAUUUAAUUAUAAAUUAAAAAAAAAAAUAAAAAGUUAUAUUUAUUUCGAUAAAUUUUAAUUAGAAAGAAAUUUAAAGCAGACCGCAAAAAAAAAUUCAUUUUAUAUUUUAUAUAAAAUAAAUAAAUGCGGCGUAUCUUUCAAUUGUCUGCCUUAUCAACUGUCGAUGGUAGAUUACAUGUCUACCAUGGUUGUAACGGGUAACGGGGAAUCAGGGUUCGAUUCCGGAGAGGGAGCCUGAGAAACGGCUACCACAUCUAAGGAAGGCAGCAGGCGCGCAAAUUACCCACUCCCGGCACGGGGAGGUAGUGACGAUAAAUAACGAUCCGGAACUCUAAUGAGUUUCCGUAAUCGGAAUGAGUACAAUUUAAAUCCGUUAACGAGGAGCAAAUGGAGGGCAAGUCUGGUGCCAGCAGCCGCGGUAAUUCCAGCUCCAUUAGCAUAUAUUAAAGUUGUUGCGUUUAAAAAGCUCGUAGUUGAAUCUGUAUCUCAUCAUGUCAGUCGCUCGUAAUUUAAUUUAUGUAGUUUGAUUUGACAUUUUGUAUGAGAUAUAAAUACUGGUGGAUUUUUCAAAAUUGAAUUUUAUUUAUUUAUAUUUUGGUUUUUUUUUUUUUUCAAAAAAAAAAUCAAUAUAAAUUAUAUAGUAAUUUUCGAUUUUAAAAUUCGAUAUAAUAAUUUUUAAUCAAAAAAGUUUAUCGAAAAUAAAUGUUAUUUUUUAAUAAUAAAUUUUUUUUAAAAAAUUUUUAUAAAAAAAUUAACUUUUUUCGAUAACUUUUAUUAAAUAUUAAUUAUAUUCUAAUAAAAUUAUUUAAACGUAAUUUUUAUUAGACCAGUAAAAUUACUUUGAACAAAUUAGAGUGCUUAAAGCAGGCAAAUUUAAAUGCCUUGAAUAUAACAGCAUGGAAUAAUAGAAUAUGAUCUCGAUACUGUUUAAAAAAGAAAAUUUUUUUCUGAUUUUUUUUUUUUUAAAUGAUUAGAAAAAAAAUAAAAAUUGGCUUAAAGAAAUAAAUAAUUUUACUUAAAAAAAAAGAUUUUUUUUUUUUUUUUGAUUUAUACAAAAAUAGUAAAAUUUCUUAUCGUUGCAAAAAUUAUAUUUAAAUUUUUUUAAUUUUUGUAUUUUUUUUUUUAAAUAAAAAAAAAUAACAAAAACUAUUUACAAUUUUUUUUUUAAAAAAAAAUAAUUUUGUAAAUAGAAAAUUUAAAAACUUUUUUGCAUCCAUAACGUUAAGAAAAUUUUUUUUUUUUGUUAAAAAAAAAUAAUUUCUUUUUUUUAAGAAUUUAUUUCGACAGUAUGAUCGAGAUAAUGAUCAAUAGAGACGGAUGGGGGCAUUCGUACUACGACGCUAGAGGUGAAAUUCUUGGACCGUCGUAAGACGAACUGAAGCGAAAGCGUUUGUCAAAAACGUUUUCAUUGAUCAAGAACGAAAGUUAGAGGUUCGAAGGCGAUCAGAUACCGCCCUAGUUCUAACCAUAAACGAUGCCGACCAGCGAUCCGUCGAUGUUCAUUCAAAUUGACUCGACGGGCAGCUUCCGGGAAACCAAAGUUUUUAGGUUCCGGGGGAAGUAUGGUUGCAAAGCUGAAACUUAAAGGAAUUGACGGAAGGGCACCACCAGGAGUGGAGCUUGCGGCUUAAUUUGACUCAACACGGGAAACCUCACCAGGCCCGGACACCGAAAGGAUUGACAGAUUAAUAGCUCUUUCUUGAUUCGGUGGGUGGUGGUGCAUGGCCGUUCUUAGUUGGUGGAGCGAUUUGUCUGGUUAAUUCCGAUAACGAACGAGACUCUAACCUGCUAACUAGACGUUAAAUGUUUUGCUAGACAUAUAAAAAAUUAUAUAUUAAUAUUUUUUGUUUAAUUUUUUUUUCGAUAAAUAAUGAAUUUUAUUUGAAAAUUUAUUUUCAUUUUUAUUUAAAAUAAAUACGUUGAAGAUAAAUUGCAUUUUUAAAAAAAAAAAGAGAAAAAGAAAUUUUUGUUUGUUUUUUUUUUAAGUGUAGUUUAUUGUAUUUAUUUGAAUAGAAAUUGAAGUGAAUUUUUUAAAUAAUUUAUUUUAAUUAUUUAAAGAUGAAAAUAAAAUAAAAAGUAUUUUGUAUAAUUUUGUUUAGUAAGCAUUUUAUCCGAUAUUUUGAAGCUGUUCAAAAUUUUUUUUUUAAGUAAUUGGUUUUUUUCUUUUUUUUUUAAAUUUAGUUAUUUUAAUUUUGGUUUUUUUUGAAAAAAAGGAACUAAAAUUUUAAUGAUUGAAUUUAAAUAAAUUAAAAAAAAAAAAUUAUUUAAAUGAAAUUUUGGCUUUCGCUAUCGGCGUAUUUAAAUACCUCUUCUUAGAGGGACAGGUGGAUUUAUAAGCCACACGAGAAGGAGCAAUAACAGGUCUGUGAUGCCCUUAGAUGUUCUGGGCCGCACGCGUGCUACAAUGAAAAAAUCAACGUGUUUAUUAAAAAUUUUCUUUUCCGAUAGGAAUGGAUAAACCGUUGAAAAUUUUUCGUGAUAGGAAUCGGGGAUUGAAAUUAUUCUCCGUGAACGAGGAAUUCCCAGUAAGCGUGAGUCAUAAGCUCGCGUUGAUUACGUCCCUGCCCUUUGUACACACCGCCCGUCGCUACUACCGAUCGAAUGAUUUAGUGAGGUCUUCGGACUGUCACACGUUUAACAUUUCGAUGUUAUCGCUGUUGAUAGAAAGAUGACCAAACUUGAUCAUUUAGAGGAAGUAAAAGUCGUAACAAGGUUUCCGUAGGUGAACCUGCAGAAGGAUCAUUA